GUCAGCAUGGAUCCUCUCACCUGCCCAGCACCCAUACUUGAAACCUGCACAUCACAUCACAAGCUUUAUCAAAACCUGCUGCCUCUUCCAGUGUCUGCAGGAUAUAAUCCCAUUAUUGAGGCGCCAAAAUUCUCACCCAAGAAGAGUUUCUAUGUCAGCCAUGGACAUUUGAGCCAUUGAAGUGGUCCAGGCAGAAGACUGAAUUUUAUCAGUAAGUGGAUCUUGGCAGAGACUGACUCUAAGGUAGUACAUGGCAGAGCAUCUGCUUACACAAGUACCUCUGACUGCUCCUGGUCACUGUCCUCUCUUAGAGUCUGCUGUUGCUAGCCCCUGGCCCUAAGAAAGAAGAUCACAGAAAUCCCACCAGACCCUCCCAGAUUUACCUCUUCUUUUCUCAGAAGAGAUGUAGGUACAAAAAAAACCCAAAAAUACCACAAAAAACCAAAACAAACAAGCAAAACAAAAUAAACA